rnacentral:rRNA from 1 species
AGAGUUUGAUCCUGGCUCAGAAUGAACGCUGGCGGCGUGCCUAACACAUGCAAGUCGAACGAGAAAGCUUCUUCGGAAGCAAGUAUAGUGGCGAACGGGUGAGUAACACGUAAGAAUCUACCUUUUAGUAAAGAAUACCUUCGAGAAAUCGGAGUUAAUACUGUAUAAGCCCUACGGGGGAAAGACGGCCUCUUUGCUGUCGCUAAGAGAUGAGCUUGCGGACUAUUAGCUUGUUGGUAGGGUAAUGGCCUACCAAGGCAAUGAUGGAUAGCCGACCUGAGAGGGUGACCGGCCACACUGGAACUGACACACGGUCCAGACUCCUACGGGAGGCAGCAGUGGGGAAUAUUGCACAAUGAGCGAAAGCUUGAUGCAGCGACGCCGCGUGGAGGAUGAAGGUUUUCGGAUUGUAAACUCCUGUUAAGUGGGAAGAAAGGCUCGUAGGUAAUAUAUGCGAGAGAUGACGGUACCACUAGAGAAAGCUCCGGCUAACUUCGUGCCAGCAGCCGCGGUAAUACGAAGGGAGCUAGCGUUAUUCGGAAUUACUGGGCGUAAAGAGCGUGUAGGCGGUUAAUUAAGUUGGUUGUCAAAUUCCUCGGCUUAACCGAGGGUCGGCAGU